rnacentral:rRNA from 1 species
AUUGAACGCUGGCGGCAGGCCUAACACAUGCAAGUCGAGCGGGGUUUUCGGACCUAGCGGCGGACGGGUGAGUAAUGCGUAGGAAGCUACCCGAUAGAGGGGGAUACCAGUUGGAAACGACUGUUAAUACCGCAUAAUGUCUACGGACCAAAGUGUGGGACCUUCGGGCCACAUGCUAUCGGAUGCGCCUACGUGGGAUUAGCUAGUUGGUGAGGUAAUGGCUCACCAAGGCGACGAUCCCUAGCUGGUUUGAGAGGAUGAUCAGCCACACUGGAACUGAGACACGGUCCAGACUCCUACGGGAGGCAGCAGUGGGGAAUAUUGGACAAUGGGCGCAAGCCUGAUCCAGCCAUGCCGCGUGUGUGAAGAAGGCCUUCGGGUUGUAAAGCACUUUCAGUAGGGAGGAAGCGUUGUGUGUUAAUAGUACACAGCGUUGACGUUACCUACAGAAGAAGCACCGGCUAACUCUGUGCCUGCAGCCGCCGCAGUA